UACGAAGGGGCUAGCGUUGUUCGGAAUCACUGGGCGUAAAGGGCGCGUAGGCGGCUUUAUAAGUCGGGGGUGAAAGCCUGUGGCUCAACCACAGAAUUGCCUUCGAUACUGUAGAGCUUGAGACCGGAAGAGGUAAGUGGAACUGCGAGUGUAGAGGUGAAAUUCGUAGAUAUUCGCAAGAACACCAGUGGCGAAGGCGGCUCACUGGCCCGGUACUGACGCUGAGGCACAAAAGCGUGGGGAGCAAACAGG
rnacentral:rRNA from 1 species